CCCUACUCAGGAUUGCACCUGGAGAGUUUCCAGGCCUCUACCGGCCUCGGCUAUGGGAGGGAGAGUCAAGCAGAGGCCUACUCAUUCCGUUCCUAGCUUAGCCAGUGGCUAGGGAAUGGAAGGCAAUCUGCUACAAGU